CUACGUGCCAGCAGCCGCGGUAAUACGGAAGGUCCGGGCGUUAUCCGGAUUUAUUGGGUUUAAAGGGAGCGUAGGCCGGAGAUUAAGUGUGUUGUGAAAUGUAGACGCUCAACGUCUGACUUGCAGCGCAUACUGGUUUCCUUGAGUACGCACAACGUUGGCGGAAUUCGUCGUGUAGCGGUGAAAUGCUUAGAUAUGACGAAGAACUCCGAUUGCGAAGGCAGCUGACGGGAGCGCAACUGACGCUUAAGCUCGAAGGUGCGGGUAUCRAACAGGAUUAGAUACCCUGGUAGUCCGCACAGUAAACGAUGGAUGCCCGCUGUUGGUACCUGGUAUCAGCGGCUAAGCGAAAGCAUUAAGCAUCCCACCUGGGGAGUACGCCGGCAACGGUGAAACUCAAAGGAAUUGACGGGGGCCCGCACAAGCGGAGGAACAUGUGGUUUAAUUCGAUGAUACGCGAGGAACCUUACCCGGGCUUGAA
rnacentral:rRNA from 1 species